GACGAACGCUGGCGGCGUGCUUAACACAUGCAAGUCGAACGGAAAGGCCCUGCUUUUGUGGGGUGCUCGAGUGGCGAACGGGUGAGUAACACGUGAGUAACCUGCCCUUGACUUUGGUAUAACUUCAGGAAACUGGGGCUAAUACCGGAUAGGAGCUCCUGCUGCAUUGUGGGGGUUGGAAAGUUUCGGCGGGUGGGGAUGGACUCGCGGCUUUUCAGCUUGUUGGUGGGCGAGUGGCUUACCAAGGCUUUGACGGGUAGCCGGCCUUGGAGGGUGGCCGGCCACAUUGGGACUGCGAUACGGCCCAGACUCCUACGGGAGGCAGCAGUGGGGAGUAUUGCACAAUGGGCGGAAGCCUGAUGAAGCAACGCCGCGGGCGGGAUGACGGCCUGCGGGUUGAAAACAGCUUUCGCCUGUGACGAAGCGUGAGUGACGGUAAUGGAUAAAGAAGCACCGGCUAACUACGUG
rnacentral:rRNA from 1 species